rnacentral:rRNA from 1 species
UACGUAGGGGGCAAGCGUUGUCCGGAUUUAUUGGGCGUAAAGAGCGUGUAGGCGGCCUGAAAGGUCAGCUGUGAAAACUCGAGGCUCAACCUCGAGACGUCGGUUCGAAACCAUCUGGCUAGAGUCCGGAAGAGGAGUGUGGAAUUCCCGGUGUAGCGGUGAAAUGCGCAGAUAUCGGGAAGAACACCCGUGGCGAAGGCGGC